ACACACUAAAGGGUCCAACACCUCCUCCCUUCUCUCUCUCUCUCUCUCUCUCUCGCCUAUUGUCACGUUUCUGUUGAUCAGUGGAAAAUACUUUCAACUGAAGUCAGUUCUUCUCUCCAUCUGUCAGAGCAACCAUGUCAGACAAUGAAGAGGUUGAAGAGUUUGAGGAGCAGAAUGAGGACGAACAGGAAGAAGAGGAGCCAGCCAUAGAGGAGGAAGAGGAGACCAAUGAGGAGCCAGGUCAGAAGUCAAGUGAGAGGGGCUUAUGAAAGAGAGCGUAGCACUACUAGUAUCUAAAAAUAGAACAUUAACCUACGUCAGUAGAAAAAUAACAUAACCCUACCAGACCCUACCUCAGAAGAAAAUAUAACAUAACCCUACCAGACCCUACCUCAGUAGAAAAUACAGCAAAACCCUAUUAGACCCUACCUCAGUAUAAUAUAUAUAUAACCCUACUAGACCCUACCUCAG